AGCGAACGCUGGCGGCAGGCCUAACACAUGCAAGUCGAACGGAUCCUUCGGGAUUAGUGGCGGACGGGUGAGUAACACGUGGGAACGUGCCCUUUGGUUCGGAACAACUCAGGGAAACUUGAGCUACUACCGGAUGUGCCCUUCGGGGGAAAGAUUUAUCGCCAUUGGAGCGGCCCGCGUCUGAUUAGCUAGUUGGUGAGGUAAAGGCUCACCAAGGCGACGAUCAGUAGCUGGUCUGAGAGGAUGAUCAGCCACAUUGGGACUGAGACACGGCCCAAACUCCUACGGGAGGCAGCAGUGGGGAAUCUUGCGCAAGGGGCGAAAGCCUGACGCAGCCAGGCCGCGUGAAUGAUGAAGGUCUUAGGAUUGUAAAAUUCUUUCACCGGGGACGAUAAUGACGGUACCCGGAGAAGAAGCCCCGGCUAACUUCGUGCCAGCCGCCGCUGUAAUAC
rnacentral:rRNA from 1 species